GACGAACGCUGGCGGCGUGCUUAACACAUGCAAGUCGAACGAAGUGGCGAACGGGUGAGUAACGCGUAAUCAACCUGCCCUUCAGAGGGGGAAAACAGUUGGAAACGACUGCUAAUACCGCAUACUUAAGGAGGGGAUUGCGUCUGAUUAGCUAGUGGGAGGGGUAACGGCCCACCAAGGCGAUGAUCAGCAGCCGGGGUGAUGGGAUGAACGGCCACAUUGGGACUGAGCAACGGCCCAGACUCCUACGGGAGGCAGCAGUGGGGAAUCUUCCGCAAUGGACGAAAGUCUGACGGAGCAACGCGGCGUGAGUGAUGACGGCCUUCGGGUUGUAAAGCUCUGUUAAUCGGGACGCGGUACCGGAAUAGAAAGCCACGGCUAACUACGUGCCAGCAGCCGCGGUAAUAC
rnacentral:rRNA from 1 species